UACGGAGGGGGCUAGCGUUGUUCAGAAUUACUGGGCGUAAAGCGCACGUAGGCGGACCAGCAAGUUAGGGGUGAAAUCCCGGGGCUCAACCCCGGAACUGCCUUUAAAACUGUUGGUCUGGAGGUCGAGAGAGGUGAGUGGAAUUCCGAGUGUAGAGGUGAAAUUCGUAGAUAUUCGGAGGAACACCAGUGGCGAAGGCGGCUCACUGGCUCGAUACUGACGCUGAGGUGCGAAAGCGUGGGGAGCAAACAGG
rnacentral:rRNA from 1 species